GACGAACGCUGGCGGCGUGCCUAACACAUGCAAGUCGAACGGGGAUGGCGUAGCUUGCUAUGCAAACCUAGUGGCGGACUGGUGAGUAACGCGUGAGCAAUCUGCCGCAGAGAGUGGGAUAACACAUGGAAACGUGUGCUAAUACCACAUAAUGUAUAACCGUGGCAUCGCGGAUAUACCAAAGGAGCAAUCCGCUCUGUGAUGAGCUCGCGUCUGAUUAGGUAGUUGGUGAGGUAACGGCUCACCAAGCCUACGAUCAGUAGCCGGACUGAGAGGUUGACCGGCCACAUUGGGACUGAGACACGGCCCAAACUCCUACGGGAGGCAGCAGUGGGGAAUAUUGCACAAUGGGGGAAACCCUGAUGCAGCGACGCCGCGUGAGUGAAGAAGUAUUUCGGUAUGUAAAGCUCUAUCAGCAGGAAAGAAAAUGACGGUACCUGACUAAGAAGCCCCGGCUAACUACGUGCCAG
rnacentral:rRNA from 1 species